rnacentral:rRNA from 1 species
AUCAACUUUCGAUUGGUAGGAUAGAGGCCUACCAUGGUUUCAACGGGUAACGGGGAAUAAGGGUUCGAUUCCGGAGAGGGAGCCUGAGAAACGGCUACCACAUCCAAGGAAGGUAGCAGGCGCGCAAAUUACCCAAUCCCGACACGGGGAGGUAGUGACAAUAAAUAACAAUACGGGGUUCUUUCGGAUCUCGUAAUUGGAAUGAGUACAAUUUAAAUCUCUUAACGAGGAACAAUUGGAGGGCAAGUCUGGUGCCAGCAGCCGCGGUAAUUCCAGCUCCAAUAGCGUAUAUUAAAGUUGUUGCAGUUAAAAAGCUCGUAGUUGAAUUUCGGGAUCAAUAUGUUGGUCGUGCCUUGGUACGUACUGGCGUCAUUGGUUUCUACCUUCUGAAGAACCUCGAUGUCAUUAAUUUGGUGUCUUGGGGAAUCAGGACUGUUACUUUGAAAAAAUUAGAGUGUUUAAAGCAGGCUCACGCUUGAAUACAUUAGCAUGGAAUAAUGAAAUAGGACGUUUGAUUCUAUUUUGUUGGUUUCUAGGAUCGACGUAAUGAUUAAUAGGGAUAGUUGGGGGCAUUAGUAUUCAAUUGUCAGAGGUGAAAUUCUUGGAUUUAUUGAAGACUAACUACUGCGAAAGCAUUUGCCAAGGAUGUUUUCAUUAAUCAAGAACGAAAGUUAGGGGAUCGAAGACGAUCAGAUACCGUCGUAGUCUUAACCAUAAACUAUGCCGACUAGGGAUCGGAUGAUGUUAAUUUUUUAAUGACUCAUUCGGCGCCUUACGGGAAACCAAAGUGUUUGGGUUC